rnacentral:rRNA from 1 species
AGACAGCAGCAGCCACGGUAAUACGUAGGGUGCAAGCGUUAAUCGGAAUUACUGGGCGUAAAGCGUGCGCAGGCGGUUCGGAAAGAAAGAUGUGAAAUCCCAGGGCUCAACCUUGGAACUGCAUUUUUAACUACCGGACUAGAGUAUGUCAGAGGGAGGUGGAAUUCCACGUGUAGCAGUGAAAUGCGUAGAUAUGUGGAGAAACACCGAUGGCGAAGGCAGCCUCCUGGGAUAAUACUGACGCUCAUGCACGAAAGCGUGGGGAGCAAACAGGAUUAGAUACCCCAGUAGUCCCUGUCUCUUAUAC